AUAUAUAUAUAUAGAGAGAGAGAGAGAGAGAGAGAGAGAGAGAGAGAGAGAGAGAGCUAUGGCCAUGGCGUCUAGGGUUCCGAUCUGCUUCUACAUUUUUGUUUUCUGUCUUUUCACUUCGUUUCAUAGAUUAGUCUCUGUUGCCGAAGAAGAAGGCAAGGUUGGGGAGUUUGUGGUCACCCUUGAUAACUCCAACUUCACUGAUACU